rnacentral:rRNA from 1 species
UACAGAGGGGGCAAGCGUUGUUCGGAAUUACUGGGCGUAAAGGGCGCGUAGGCGGCCUGCUAAGUCGGACGUGAAAUCCCUCGGCUCAACCGAGGAACUGCGUCCGAUACUGGUGGGCUUGAAUCCGGGAGAGGGAUGUGGAAUUCCAGGUGUAGCGGUGAAAUGCGUAGAUAUCUGGAGGAACACCGGUGGCGAAGGCGGCAUCCUGGACCGGUAUUGACGCUGAGGCGCGAAAGCUAGGGGAGCAAACGGG